UAAGGAAUAUUGGACAAUGGAGGCAACUCUGAUCCAGCCAUGCCGCGUGAAGGAAUAAGGCCCUAUGGGUUGUAAACUUCUUUUAGACGGGACAAAACCCCUUUACGUGUAAAGGGUUGAUGGUACUGUCAGAAUAAGCAUCGGCUAACUUCGUGCCAGCAGCCGCGGUAAUACGAAGGGUGCAAGCGUUAUCCGGAAUUAUUGGGUUUAAAGGGUGCGUAGGCGGACUAAUAAGUCAGUGGUGAAAGCCUGCAGCUUAACUGCAGAAUUGCCAUUGAUACUGUUAGUCUUGAGUACAGUUGAGGUAGGCGGAAUGUGUCAUGUAGCGGUGAAAUGCUUAGAUAUGACACAGAACACCGAUUGCGAAGGCAGCUUGCUAAGCUGUAACUGACGCUGAGGCACGAAAGCGUGGGGAGCAAACA
rnacentral:rRNA from 1 species